GUCCUUGCCAUAAACGAUGUGGAUUAGGUGUCGGGGGUGUUGAUCCCUCCGGUGCCGACGAUAACUCAUUAAAUCCACCACCUGGGGAGUACGGUCGCAAGACUGAAACUCAAAAGAAAUUGACGGGGACCCGCACAAGCGGUGGAGCAUGUGGUUUAAUUUCGAGGCUACGCGAAGAACCUUACCCGGAUUUGACAUGUAUAUGACCGAGUAUGAAAGUACUCUUUCCCGCAAGGGACAUUUACACAGGUGCUGCAUGGCUGUCGU
rnacentral:rRNA from 1 species